AUCAAUACCAGGAGGAAGGAGAAGACCUGUGAUCUGUUUCUUUCCCUUUAUGAGGAGAUGGUGUACAUGCCCAAGAAGGAGAGAAGACAGGAGGCCAGGCAUGGUAUCCUUGUGAACAUUCUCUCCCCUGUGAGAAACCAGCCACCAUGUUGUAAGCAGCCCUGUGGCGAGGCCCACAUGAGGAAGACCAGGGCUUGCCAACAUCCUCUGAGUGCACAUGGAAACAGAUCUCUGUCCCUCCCCUCAAGGCCCAGCUGUGCAUCCAAAUGAGAUCACAGCCUUUGUUGACAGCUUGACAGUCUCCUCAUGAGCCAGAGAAAUCAGCUAGGUGACUCUCAGAUUUCAGACUCACAGAAACUGUGAGAUAAUAAAUGCUUAUUGCUUUAAAUGCUAAAU
rnacentral:lncRNA from 1 species